UACGGGGGGGGCAAGCGUUGUUCGGAAUUACUGGGCGUAAAGGGCUCGUAGGUGGCCAACUAAGUCAGACGUGAAAUCCCUCGGCUUAACCGGGGAACUGCGUCUGAUACUGGAUGGCUUGAGUUUGGGAGAGGGACGCGGAAUUCCAGGUGUAGCGGUGAAAUGCGUAGAUAUCUGGAGGAAUACCGGUGGCGAAGGCGGCAUCCUGGACCGGCAUUGACGCUGAUGAGCGAAAGCUAGGGGAGCAAACGGG
rnacentral:rRNA from 1 species